CUCUCUCCCCCUCUGCCUCCCUCCCUCUCUUUUUGCCGAUGGGCUGUACUUGGGCAGGGGGAGAGCGCUUUACCAGUUGUGUGAGUGCAGGAGAGGUAGAGAGAAGGAUCUCCAUGCUCUAUCAGGCAGAACAAGAGUCCUGAUUCUCUCUCCGGCUUGUGGGAUAUACAACAGUGACACAGUCCUGUGGUGCCACAUAGCCCACAGAUCCAGAAUCCAAUGGUGCGAUGGCCCCCAGGCAGGGCAGUGUGGGACUUCUAGGUCCUCCAGCAGGCGUGCCUCUCCCUGUCCUCCCACUCAUCCUCCUCCUCUGUGGCCAGAUGCUGGAUGCCCAGGGACAAGCUCAAGCGUUUGGCGUCGCCGGCCUUCUAGCUGCUGCCGAACCUACUGCUGGCAAACGCCCUUCACUCAUCAACCCCGGACUUGUCUCAUCAUCAUUAAAAAACACCUGGUUCCAAUCGCCACUCUGUCACUGUAUAUAUACUCCCUCUGUCAUUUGUCUAUUUCAGACGUUGUAAAUGUUGCUUGUUUUCCUGAGAGGAAUC
ensembl:lncRNA